rnacentral:rRNA from 1 species
AGUGAACGCUGGCGGUAGGCCUAACACAUGCAAGUCGAACGGCAGCACAGGAGAGCUUGCUCUCUGGGUGGCGAGUGGCGGACGGGUGAGGAAUACAUCGGAAUCUACCUUGUCGUGGGGGAUAACGUAGGGAAACUUACGCUAAUACCGCAUACGACCUUCGGGUGAAAGUGGGGGACCGCAAGGCCUCACGCGAUUAGAUGAGCCGAUGUCGGAUUAGCUAGUUGGCGGGGUAAAAGCCCACCAAGGCGACGAUCCGUAGCUGGUCAGAGGGGAUGAGCAGCCACACUGGAACUGGGACACGGGCCAGACUCCUACGGGAGGCAGCAGUGGGGAAGAUUGGACAAUGGGCGCAAGCCUGAUCCAGCCAUACCGCGUGGGUGAAGAAGGCCUUCGGGUUGUAAAGCCCUUUUGUUGGGAAAGAAAUCUUGCCGGUUAAUACCUGGCGAGGAUGACGGUACCCAAAGAAUAAGCACCGGCUAACUUCGUGCCAGCCGCCGCGGUAAUAC